rnacentral:rRNA from 1 species
ACUCAAAGGAAUUGACGGGGGCCCGCACAAGCAGCGGAGCAUGUGGUUUAAUUCGAUGCAACGCGAAGAACCUUACCAAGGCUUGACAUCCCGCUGAAAUAUACAGAGAUGUAUAUGGCCGCAAGGACAGCGGAGACAGGUGGUGCAUGGUUGUCGUCAGCUCGUGUCGUGAGAUGUUGGGUUAAGUCCCGCAACGAGCGCAACCCCUAUACUCAGUUACCAGCAAGUAAAGUUGGGGACUCUGGGGAGACUGCCGUGGAGAACACGGAGGAAGGUGGGGACGACGUCAAAUCAUCAUGCCCCUUACGUCUUGGGCUACACACGUGCUACAAUGGUUUGAAACAAAGGGAAGCGAAAGGGCAACCUGGAGCGGAACCCAAAAACCAAAUCUCAGUUCGGAUUGUGGGCUGCAACCCGCCCGCAUGAAGUUGGAGUUGCUAGUAAUCGCGAAUCAGCAUGUCGCGGUGAAUGCGUUCCCGGGCCUUGCACACACCGCCCGU